CCCAGACUCCUACGGGAGGCAGCAGUGGGGGAUAUUGCACAAUGGAGGAAACUCUGAUGCAGCGACGCCGCGUGAGGGAAGACGGUCUUCGGAUUGUAAACCUCUGUCUUUGGGGAAGAAAGUGACGGUACCCAAAGAGGAAGCUCCGGCUAACUACGUGCCAGCAGCCGCGGUAAUACGUAGGUGGCAAGCGUUAUCCGGAUUUACUGGGUGUAAAGGGCGUGUAGGCGGGGACGCAAGUCAGAUGUGAAAACCAUGGGCUCAACCUGUGGCCUGCAUUUGAAACUGUGUUUCUUGAGUACUGGAGAGGCAGACGGAAUUCCUAGUGUAGCGGUGAAAUGCGUAGAUAUCAGGAGGAACACCGGCGGCGAAGGCGGCCUGCUGGACCGUGACUGACGUUGAGGCUCGAGAGCGUGGGGAGCAAACAGGAUUAGAUACCCUUGUACGG
rnacentral:rRNA from 1 species